rnacentral:rRNA from 1 species
UACAGAGGGUGCAAGCGUUGUUCGGAAUUAUUGGGCGUAAAGCGCGUGUAGGUGGUCUAGCAAGUUGGGUGUGAAAGCCCUCGGCUUAACCGAGGAAGUGCGCCCAAAACUACUAGGCUUGAGUAUCGGAGAGGAUGGUGGAAUUCCCGGUGUAGAGGUGAAAUUCGUAGAUAUCGGGAGGAACACCAGUGGCGAAGGCGACCAUCUGGCCGAAUACUGACGCUGAGACGCGAAAGCGUGGGGAGCAAACAGG